ensembl:lncRNA novel transcript
GACGAAGGCCGGCAGGCUAGGCGUGGACCCAACUGGCGAGGCUGCUGGGGUUGCAGCGGGACAGUUGGGGCGGCCCCGCAGGCCCAGGUUUUUGAAAAUAAAGUUAAUUCAGAGAAGGUAAAACUUUCUCUUCGGAAUUUCCCACAUAAUGAUUAUGAGGAUGUUUUUGAAGAGCCUUCAGAAAGUGGCAGUGAUCCCAGCAUGUGGACAGCCAGAGGCCCCUUCGGAAGAGACAGGUGGAGCAGUGAGGAUGAGGAGGCUGCAGGGCCAUCACAGGCUCUCUCCCCUCUACUUUCUGAUACGCGCAAAAUUGUUUCUGAAGGAGAACUAGAUCAGUUGGCUCAGAUUCGGCCAUUAAUAUUCAAUUUUCAUGAGCAGACAGCCAUCAAGGAUUGUUUGAAAAUCCUUGAGGAAAAAACAGCAGCGUAUGAUAUCAUGCAGGAAUUUAUGGCUUUAGAACUUAAGAAUCUGCCUGGUGAGUUCAACUCUGGGAAUCAACCAAGCAACAGAGAAAAAAACAGAUACCGAGAUAUUCUUCCAUACGGGAACUAGUCACUCUGUAAAACAGUUGCAGUUCACCAAGUGGCCAGACCAUGGCACUCCUGCCUCAGCAGAUAGCUUCAUAAAAUAUAUUCGUUAUGCAAGGAAGAGCCACCUUACAGGACCCAUGGUUGUUCACUGCAGUGCCGGCAUAGGCCGGACAGGGGUGUUCCUAUGUGUGGAUGUCGUGUUCUGUGCCAUCGUAAAGAACUGUUCACUGCGGUAAAUAGCCACUAUGGAGACUAAGGACCAGAAGAAACACAGAAAGAAAAACAGUGGACCCAAAGCUGCAAAGAAAAAGAAGUGGCAUCUGCAGGAUCUCCAGCUAGGAGACGAAGAAAAUGCCCAGAAGAGAAAUGCCAAUGCUUUUGCAGUUCAGUCUGCUGUGUGGAUGUCUCGAUCCUUUCACAGGACUCUGGAUUUGAAGACACAAAAGCAUCAUAUUCCAGUGGUUGAUGGAACUCCACUAGAGCUGCCACCAAUACCGGUAGUGGUGACGGGGCCUCCAAAGUUGGAAAGAGCACUUUGAUAUAAUGCCUCAUUCGGAACUUCACCUGGCAGAAGUUCACCGAGAUCAGAGGCCCUGUGACGAUCGUGUCAGGUAAAAAGCGCAGACUCACCAUUAUUGAAUGUGGGUGUGACAUUAACAUGAUGAUUGAUCUGGCUGAAGUAGCAGAUCUGGUACUGAUGCUUAUAGAUGCCAGCUUUGGGUUUGAAAUGGAAAUGUUUGAGUUUCUAAACAUCUGUCAAGCACAUGGCUUUCCUAAAAUUCUGGGAGUUCUCACCCACCUCGACUCCUUCAAGCAUAACAAGCAACUGAAGAAGACAAAGAAGCGAUUAAAACACAGGUUCUGGACAGAAGUUUACCAGGUUGCCAAACUGUUCUACCUUUCUGGAAUGGUGCAUGGAGAAUAUCAAAACCAAGAAAUCCACAAUCUGGGCCAUUUUAUUACAGUUAUGAAGUUUAGGCCUCUCAUGGCAAACUUUUCACCCUUAUAUCCUGGCAGACAGGAUGGAAGAUUUGACAAACCCGGAGGAUAUCCAAACAAACAUCAAAUGUGACCGGCAGGUGUCACUUUAUGGUUAUUUAAGAGGAGCACACUUCAAAGAUAAAAGCCAAAUUCACAUGCCAGGACAAGGUGGGGCUCACCCAUGAGCUGGUCCAGAGUCUCAUCUCCACCUACUCCACCAUUGAUGCCAAGAUGGCUUCAAGUCGAGUGACGCUGCUUUCCAAUUCCAAACCACUUGGGUCAGAGGCUAUAGAUAAUCAAGGGUGAGUGGUGUCAUUGAGCAAACACAAAGUCGGGCUCAUCCAAGGAUGAGAUUUUGCCAGAGAAAGGAUGAGCAGCAAGUCAGGGAGCUUAAGUGGAGACGAGAUUUCACUAUGUAGGCGAAGCUGGUCUCGAACUCCUGACCUCAGAUGAUCCACCCGCCUCAGCCUCCCAAAGUGCUGGGAUUACAGGCGUGAGCCACUGCGCCUGGCCUGUUUAUUCUCUUAAGAGAGAAAAUGAGGGGAUUAAUGGACUGUAGUUCUGGACAAGGUGGAAAACUCUUAAAGUGGAAGUACUGGGGCAAGUGCUCUGACAGGGUAGGAUGGUGCAGUCAGUCCCUUCACCCAGAAAUCAGUAGAAUGUUAGCAGUUCAGACUCAAACCUUGUGAAAAACAGGUGGUGGAAAGGAAAUCCCUCACAGCAACUGGCACCAUAAUCAAGACAAUGUUUACAGAAUAAAUGGAGUUACCUGCUUUCAGCCCCAGGUCGUAGCUAUUGUCUGCCCUGCUGAUAUGUGAUAAUAAUUUGUGAUCCUGUUGUCUUAAAAUGGGGUCACUCAUCUCCAGUAGAAUUAAGUCCACAGUGAAGUUGUCCCCCCAUCCCCAAAGAGAUAAACAUAUAUGAAUGAACUCACGUGAUAACAACUACUGCUGCCUGGGAUCAUGAGAGACCUGAACUGAACUGAUAGGAUGUGAAAGGUGGCUGAGAUAAUGAGAAUAGACCCAUCUGCAGAGGAUCAUAAAACCAGCAAAGACAAGAUCUUGUCUAAGAUGCCUUCACAAGCUUUGUCCAUGAGAACUCUUAAGGAUUUCACCAGACCUGUUGGCUGCUGCUGUGAUCUCUGCCCAAGAGGAGCCUCUGACCAACAUCCAAAGGGCUUCUGGACCCACUGGACUCCUCUGGAGGUACCUUGGUCUCCCGAUCCAUGGCUGUGGUUUUUUACUCCCUUUAUCACUGCCUGUGUGUAGAAUGAUAAUUGCACAAUUGAUAGUGUGAAGACCUCUUGAUAAAUGGUAAAUCUGAGCAUAUGUAUUUGGCUGACAUGUCAUUGUGAAACCUCACAGCUUCAGUCAGUGUCUCUCCAAGGACUAAACAAUGGAAGACUGUAGAAGAUGCUAUUCAUUAAGAUAUCGCAAGAAUAUGGAAGACUAUUAUUCGCUUCUCAUGGGACAGGACUUUUCAGGGCACCUGAAAAAACUCCCAUGAAAAAUCACUUUUACAAAAUGUCAAGUUAUGAUAUUCAAGAUGAAACCAAUGAGUCACAACAUUCACAUAAUACACUGUACAACCCUGAUCUCUUGACUGUCAUCAAAUGUUUCUUACCUCUAAACCAAAGUUUCAUUUUAUAAUUUAAUUUUUCUCAUUUUUUCCAUUCUCUUAGCUUAAGAAAAGAUCAUUACAAACUUUUUGUAAGUUUUUCAUAUAUGCUUGCAAAGGGUUGUAAAACUUUAUUGUGAUUAUUCUUGCUUUAAGCUGAAACAUCCCUAAUCUUUCUUUAGAGAUUGUGGCAUAGCAUGUUAGUUUCUUUUCCAUAUCCAAUUGUUUUCUGUAGUGAAUACAGAAAUACGGGCACUAUUUUGUAACUUUAAAUAGACAUCAUCUCAAGUCUACAAGAAUUAUCCAAAAUGGUAUUUAAUGACAUUUCUAGGUCUUCAGACACUAUUAAUGCAGAUUGUAGCCUCUAGGUCCUGAAGAUUUUACUAGAUACUGGUUACUGAAACUGAGCUUUCUUGAAUUCUUUUUCCUUCCACUGUGGUUUCCCGCAUUUCAACAUAUCACCUAUUUUUGUCCUCAAAGGUUACUUAAAUUUUUUCCACAGAAUUAAAUUAAAUAUGAAUCAUCCCUCCUCUGAUUUUUGAAAUGACCCUUUGCUUCCUAUGAUAAUGAUUCUUCUGGUCCGUUUUGUAGUUAUAUGUUAGAGUUUGUAAAUAGUCACACAUUUUGCAACUGCAUGUAAUUUUCUUAUUAUUUUUUCCUCUUCCUCUAAAACUGCUGUUAUUUCUUUUAACUUUUUGUGGGAAAAAUUAAACCCAUCUUUCACGUUGU